ACUCAUACGGUAGGCAGCAGUGGUGAAUUAUUGGACAAUUGGGUACGGAGCAUCGANCCAUGCCGCAUGCGCGUGUGUAAGAAGGGCCUUAUGGUUGUAAAAGCACUUUAAGCGAGGAGGAGGCUACUGAGACUAACUACUCUUGGAUAGUGGACGUUACUCGCAGAAUAAGCACCGGCUAACUCUGUGCCAGCAGCCGCGGUAAUACAGAGGGUGCGAGCGUUAAUCGGAUUUACUGGGCGUAAAGCGUGCGUAGGCGGCCAUUUAAGUCAAAUGUGAAAUCCCGCAGCUGACUUAGGAUUGGCAAUUGCUGAUACUGGAUGGCUAGAGUAUGGGAGAGGAUGGUAGAAUUCCAGGUGUAGCGGUGAAAUGCGUAGAGAUCUGGAGGAAUACCGAUGGCGAAGGCAGCCAUCUGGCUAAUACUGACGCUGAGGUACG
rnacentral:rRNA from 1 species